UACAGAGGUCUCAAGCGUUGUCCGGAUUCAUUGGGCGUAAAGGGUGUGUAGGUGGCGCCGUAAGUCGGGUGUGAAAUUUCGGAGCUUAACUCCGAAACUGCAUUCGAUACUGCGGUGCUUGAGGACUGGAGAGGAGACUGGAAUUCAUGGUGUAGCAGUGAAAUGCGUAGAGAUCAUGAGGAAGACCAGUGGCGAAGGCGGGUCUCUGGACAGUUCCUGACACUGAGACACGAAGGCCAGGGGAGCAAACGGG
rnacentral:rRNA from 1 species